rnacentral:piRNA from 1 species
UAUAUUCAAUUACAAAUGUGUUGCAGC